UGUGUGUGUGAUUUUUUUUUUAAAACGUGCCAAAACCACUGCAGUAUAUUUAAAACAAAACAACAACAACAACAAAAAACAACAACUAGCUGGAUACAAGUAUCGUAUAUACUGUAACUUCAUGUUUUUAUUUCAUGUUUUACAAGUGCUCAAUGUGACCACCAACAGCGGCACGGACAACAUCAAUCCGAUAUGAAAAUUACUCCCAAACGCCCUUCAGCAUAUCCUAGUCCACUGUGUUGAUUGCAGCUUUUAUUCGAGCUUUCAAGUCAUUGAUCUUUACUGGCAACAGUGGAACAAAAACUGUCUUUAACAUACCCUCACAGGAUAUCCAGUUAAAGUUAACAAUGAUUGACAGAUGUUAAGGUUUGAUCUUGCCAGAUAUGCUUGGAAGCCAAAGCUCUUUUUUUAAUUAUACUUUGGGGGAAAAAGUGGGAAAAACAUGUCUUUUAUGUAUUUCUUUCCAAUGCUAAAUCUGAAUACAUUGAACACACAAAAAUGUUUUUUAAGCACUUCACAUGUAAUAAUUAUGAUAAAUUUUAAAUAUGUUACUGUCCAACCGAAUUAUUUUUAAACAAGAAAAAAUAGACGCCAAAUGCAUUUUUAAAAAAAAAGCUUGUCUUUAUUAAAUGCUUCAUUGAGUGAGUCCGCUCAGAUCAACUCAAUUUGAUCGCUUACACACAAUGAGUUGCAACAGCAACUUUUUAAAUGAUGUUGACACAUGUGGCGCUUUUAAGUCUCAGCUUACCAGCGGCUCUGGCAAGAUCAAAGCUUAGUUUUCUGUCAAUCAUCGUUAACUUUUUAAAUAAAAAAAAAAAAAACUCCAGUUAUACUGCCUGAACAUCAAACAGCAUGGAGAGGACAGGAGGGAGGAAGGGAGAGUGAGACUACGCGAUCGGCUCGGGACAGCUCGUCUGUAUUUAUUUUUUAAGUGGAAAAAAAAAUCUGCGAUGGACUGAUGGCGCAAAGUUUGAAGCGCGAAGUAUCGAGGGAUCACUGUAUAUUUAUAUCUUCUGUCUGGGGUCAUUAAGAACUAAUGGGAUUAUGCUGAGUAAAAUUCAACAUAUUUCCUGGUAAGAACAUUAAUCUGUUCUAUUAUUAUUAAUUGAAGGGCAUUAGACAUUGCAGAGUUAGUACUUAAAUACAGAAUGCAAAUUUCACAUAUCUAUAAAAAGUAAUAAUAAUAAAUGAAUUUUAAAAUAUAUAAAAAGUUCCAAAUGAACUACGACCACCCGUUUCACAACCUAACCAACUCAUCUGCUCAGAAACUUGAUAAGUACAAGCAUAAAAAGCGUGCAUGCCCUCUACUGGCUAACUCAGAACAAAAUAACAAAAAUAACUGCAAUUAAUUAAGCAUCUGUUAGACAAAAGUAAUAAUAAAAAUCAGGCUUUGAGGAUCGAUGUGAAUACAUCCCUAAAAUACACCUGCCAAAGUUCAUCGUGACCCGUUCCCGGUGGAGUAUCAAUUCUUAAGUCUGCAAUGAAUUAAUCUGAUUAAUCAAGACAGAGAAGAAAAAUGGGGCUCCAAGAAUUGACGCAUAUAAAUUUCAUUCGAGCCAUUCACGAAUAACGGAGGAAUAGCAUUUUUAGUGUCCACACCAAGGACAAAAACAAGAACAACAAAGCGAGCCCUUCCCCUGGGGGGUCUAGUAAAAAUCAAAACAGUGCCAUGCUAUCCCAAUCUUGAUAAUCAUACAAGGAUUUAGUGCAUGGAUGUCUCGGACAAAAAGGCAACCCCCAAUUAUUUUGUAGGAAAUUCAGAUGUUUUGUUUUGCUAUCGGAAGAUUUUUAUCCAUUUUGGAUCUAAACCAUGUAUAGCUCAAUCCGCUUUUGGACAAUAGCUUAAUGAAAUGCAGCGCUUGACGUUAUUUGUUUGUCUUGCUGUUCCUCUGUUUCGUAAACAGUAAAGUAGAUUUGCCAACUGCAAAGAUUCCCACAGUCAGGCCAGCCAACUUACCUCCCCUCCUUUACGCACUGCGUUAGAGCCGGGAUGUGAGUAAGCCGACAACAUUUCUGACAAGCUGAACAAUGAAUUGUUCUUUCACUGCGGCAGAAGGUUUAUCAAACUGUGGGCUUCGAUUUUACACUGAGCAUGUCAAUUACUGAGUGAAUUCAGAGUAUAUACAGUAGGUCAUUCCUGAAUUGGAGGACAUUUUUUGCCUCUACCCUAAAAUUAUAUAUGAAAUAAUCCACAACAAAAAGAAACAUUUGUAAAUAGUAAAUUUCCUGAAUCAAAAUAUGACUAUAGCUUUGCAGCAAUAGUGAUUCAUUGAUGUUAUUUAGAAUGCAAAAUAAUUUUUGCAUUGAUGCCCUUUUAACCCUUAGAUGCACAAGUUACUGGACCCUACACUCUUCCAUGAGUGGGUCAAAAAUGACCCAUAUUAGAACCAAUGUGUUUUUAUGCCAUUUUGUUGAAGAAUAGUCACUUGUAUAUUAAUUAGUAUGAUAUUUAGGGCCACACAAGAAUGAUUUCAUGCUUGAAAUAUCUUUAUGAUUCAAUUUUUGGAGAAAAAAAAAAAAAUAAAAUACAAAAAAUAAAUAAACAGAACAGCAAUAGACUUCAUCCUUCCUUGGAUUUUAUCAUCAAUGAUAAAGAGCUCCCAUGCAUCUUUUUGGUGAGACAGCAGUGCUAAGCCCUUUUCUGAUGAUAUUGUGGCUCUGUGUUCUGCCAUGGGUGGGUGGUAAUUCUCUCUAGUAAGAGCCCUACCAACUCAUUCUGUUGGCCAUGAAUUGGACACUUUCUUCUUCAGAGGACACAUAAGUGGAAUCUUAUGAGUCAGAUUGAUCCUGUUCAGUGGGAUUUCCAGGUGGACAACUGCCACUGCCACCUGGACAAUAGUCUGGGUCCUCAUCAUCAGAAAUUUCAGACACUUGAGUCCAACCCCGUCACUGCCGCUCCAUCAUCCAACAUCUGUAGGACCAUUUCAGCUGAAAAUCCAGCACAAAUCCGAUUUUUUCGUGUUUUUCCGACUCGACUGAACGGGAAAAGUCGCAUAAAAGUGGACCAUUUUCAAAUUUUCACUUUCGUAUGUGGUUAAAAUCCCCUCCGGGCCACAUUUUGCCAGAAUGUGGCUGCGGUCCGAACUGUCAAGUCCCCCAAAUUGGAAUUCAUGCAGCAAUUAACAUCAGCAAAGCGCAAGAGAGACAGGGUGCUACAGUAGCGGUGCAGCUGUCCAUUAGCGUUAGCGCCUAGGUUGAACGCGGCUUUUGGGGAAGGAGCGGGCUUGACAACAUUCAUAAAAAAAUAAAAUGGGUUGAGAAUAAGCUUGACAAUGCUCGGUUUUCUCUCUGCUCCAAUGCUCCUGCGCAUGCGGGCCAGUUUGCUCAGCGCAUCUCAUACUGCGAAUUCGAGCGCAUGUGUGAUACUUGAACAGGCUCAAUGGACAAAGGCAGUCUGAACGGGUUCGCCAAAAAAACAGAUAUGACAAAAAAAAUCAGAAUUUUGCAUUAGGACCUGCGGUAUGAACCAAGCCUUUGUUAGCUAGCUAGUUAUGAAGUAGGUUAAUUUGUUGAUAAAUAAUAAUAAAGAGUCCUGAAAGACACACAACAUACUAUAUGGACAUAAUACUUAAAGUACACGUAUCAGCUCUUACUGUGUAAAAUAAUCUUCUUAAGGGAUGUCACUUUUUACAUACCUAGUCUGUGUGGUCCACGGUAAAUUUAUUCCUGACAGCCAAAAUUGAUAAGAAUGAAAAAUUCCCAUUGGAUUCCAUAGAAAAUGCAUGUGGGUCAUUUUUGAUCCACUUGUGGAAGCUUAGGGUAGUAAUACAAAAAUGACAAUUCCUUCAAAUGUAUAAAAAGUUCAUCAAAAAUUUGAAUGGCAUUAUAUCAAAAACAUGUUUUUUGAGGAAUACCUGGAAUAUGAAUUGAUAACAAUUUUUCAUUCCGAAGAUAUUUCAAGAAAACAACCUCACCGGGUCAUUUUUGACCCGCUUGUGCAUCUAAGGGUUAAGAUGAAUUUUCCCGUGUCCCAGAUGACACAGGAUGUAAAAUAUAAUCAAUCCCAAAAAAAACUUUCAAAUUAGCCUUUUUGUAUCAUUGUCUUCGCUGUAAUGAACUUAUGACCUUACGAUCGUCUGUGUUGUAUCUCAACGCAUAUGAUGUUAAUCAAAUAUUUUAAGCCAACAAAAGAGAAAAUGAGAUGCACAACUCAUCAGAAAUUACAUCAUGAAAGUAUAGCUACAAUAGACCGUGGUAUGUCAUCACAUGGGUUAGUAGUUUGUGCAGCGGGAAAAAAGUGAACUUUGAGCUAAAACUAACAAUAUCCUUUACAAUCCUGUUACUGUACUGUAGGAGCCAUGUUGUCUUUAGCAUUGAUGUUGAUUUUUUUUAUAGGCUUACUGUCUCUUUGCUUAUGAGCCUGGUUAUCUUCCUUUGCAUAUUGUUUGACUGUCUAGGCAUAUUUUCUGUUGACCGUUCUUUCACGUCUGCGCAUUAUUGUUUUUUGUUUUUUUGUUUUUGUUUUUUUUUUUUAUUAACUGAACCGCAAUCAGUUCGUAAAGCAUCGUUUGAAUUUGAUUUGGAACAAACACUUUAAACUUUACGUUCGGUUGAUUUGGAGUGAUUCAAUGAGUCAAGAAACCCUGCGCCUUUUAAGUCUCUCUGUGGCUAUUUUCAAAAUAGUCCCCACAUGUACUAUAGAACUAAGUCGCUAGAAAAUAAAAUCUUUCAUUAAAAACAGCAUAAGUGUGUGCUAGACAAAACAUUUUUACCUACUAAAUGAUCUGCACACCAAAUAAAUCAGUACCUACUAUGGGUGUAACGGUACAUGUAUUUGUAUUGAACCGUUUCGGUACGGGGUGCUCGGUUCGGAACAGAGGCGUACGGAAUGAGUUUCUGACGUAAUGUAACCCUUACUUUUCGAGGCUGUGAGUCGAUCGGGUUACAGUUUCUUUGUGUAGAUCACAUUUACUCCGUCUUCUCUACUAUAAUGAGGACCAACACGGUAGGACAGUAUAUAACCCAGAAACAUCAACGGCGCGACAACGUGGCCACCGCGAGAACGCAGUGAAAGAGCGUUAAAGUUAAUCAGCCAUUGCACACCAGUCGCAGUGCGUCCCAGAAGCGGCUCAACGCGACGCACGUGAAAAAAAAAACGGCAGAGUUCAUUAUUUGACGCGAGACGUGGCCCUCCUGCGUCAAUACUACUAGCUAGGAUCGGGCAGACCGGAAGUCACUCGUGUAAAAAUACGGUGGAUCAGGUCGAUUUUCAAACUAAUAUGCAAUCGUAACCCACUUUUUGAGUCCAUCAUAUCUCUUGAGUGGUAGAUCGGGGCACAGUUGACUUGUCUUUGUUGAUUUACUGCUAUCUUCUCUGCUAUAAUAAUAACCAACACGGCCCCGUGUUCAAUACAAAACCCUCCAACCACAACAAAAUAAGUAGGAACUAAUAUUCACAUAGGAACUAAAGUUAUACAACAUAAAAUAUACAAUAUAAAUGAAUACUACAUCACAUUUGUAAAAUAUAAACACAUAAUAAAAUAAAUAAUAGCCCAUUUAAAUAAAUUGAAAUGAGCUAAAACGCCUGUAAUUAAAUAAUAAGAAUAAUACACAGAUCCUGCUUACACAAUUUAUUAAUUUGUGGCGCUUCAACUUGAGAAAAUCCACCAAUAAAGCUUUUGAAAACCGUUCAUAAGAAAAAAAAAAAAGAUUCAUUUAGGCAUUUCAUUUGUAAAAUACAUGUUAAAAUCUUUGUCGUUGGGUUUGCUUUUCUCUUUAGCACAGGACUUUUUUCUUCUUUCUUUCAGAAAGAAAGCUGACCAAUACGUGGGGUCUGAAAGGCAAAUUGUUGUUGGAUUAUUAUCUUUAAAUACUUGCUACUUUUUUAGCAGAAUUCUAGCGUUGUAUGGGCUAAUGUUCCUAUUGUUGAAAGCACAAAAGUGUGUAAUAAACAACUAGCACAUUUAUAUUUUGCAUUUUGUUUUCUUACUGUACCGAAAAUGAACCGAACCGUGACCUCAAAACCGAGGUACGUACCAAACUGAGAUUUUUGUGUACCGUUACAACCCUACCUACUGUACCAUAAAUGUUGAAAUGACUUAGAUUCUGUGACAUUUCUGCCUUGUGGUGUGUUGGGAGACCUUUUCAAUGUAAAAUAUGAGCCUUGGCUCAGUUAAUGUUGGGAAUCACGGCCUGAAGAAAACAUGAGACCAGUGGAAAUCUGUCCAUGGUGUUGAAUCUGAUAUUUGAUUUACUUCAGUCCUCAAUGAGACACCCUAAAAAGAUUUUUUUUUUUACAGAUGGAGGUCAAACAGGCAAAAGCAAGGUUUGUUUUUGUUUGCACUGGAUGCCUGCAGGUGAGUCACUUUCACACCUAGAGUGAACAGUGAGAGGGGACACGCAAUGAACGAAGCUCUGCGUCAAAUAUGUGCGUCCGCGCCAAGGCAGAGGCCAAGUUACCGGCUUGGCCCACGUCACAGCUAUUUUUAGACCCGUCUGUGUGCUUGUCAGAUCGGUCUGACACUACAUCAAAAUAAUCCCCCGGACACCCAGUGCCAAAUUCUCCGGAGUAACCUAAUCUCGGAUGCAAUGUCAAGAGGCAGCACACACACGAUGAGGCAAACAAAUUCAAAUGAAAUUGUGAAUGAUAGGGGUUGUGAAUGGGUCAUUGAAAUAAAUUGUAUAGAUCUGAAACGUUUAAUUGGAUCAGAAAGCUGCAACCAUUUUAGGAAAUGCACAGGAAUUCACCUUUUCCUUGUUUGUCCUCAAUUAGAAUUUGACUAUUAUGAUUUGUAUCUAGUUACAGAUAACAAAAAUAACCCUGUGGAACCAGAAGAUAACCAUCACAACAUUGUCAUUGCAAAAAAUUAUAAACACGUUUUCUCAAAGUAUUUGGUUAGGGCUUUAUACAGCUUUUCUACACAAUCCCCAGUGAUACAUUUUAUAAAGCCAAAAACUUUAUGGUCACGUUUUAGUAACAGUGUUCUGAUUCCAUGUACCAGAUUUUAUUUGUGUGCAGCACUAGAAUUGGGAUGGAGCGGAUUGAACGGUGACUCGUGGCAUCGUGAAUACAUGGCGACAUCGUGUGGCUGGAAUAAUGACUGUUCAAUCAGAGUUGACAACCGGAACAACAGAUUUGACAACCAGAAUACAGAAAGUUAUCUUUGGUGCCAUGGCUUACUUUCAAGUCUGACACGACGGAAGACCUCAAACAGAGAAGCAACCGAGUGCAUGCGAUAGAAUAGGUUUAAAGGAACUGCAAAGUUGAGUGUUGUAGUCCAUAUGCUGAAACCAAAAGCCUCCUGUUCCAGCCCAUUCUCAUACUGCGGCCGACAGCCAAAGGCGGGGAGGAUCCAAAGCUAGGAAGAACACAGUUUCUUAGUAUCAGGCUGUCAUUGCUACCUAUGAUAAUGAAGAAAACUAAAGUUACUUUAUCCUGUGUAACAUCCCAGGAAGUUUAGAACAAAAAAACUGCUUAUACUUGUGUAAAAGUAGUCAAAACUUGGACUCUUUCGUAGAAGUAAAAGAACACCUGGACUGAGAAAUAACUGCCUCCUUUUUUUUUUUUUUUCUUUUUUUUUUUCUAAGAACAGU